rnacentral:rRNA from 1 species
GACGAACGCUGGCGGCGCGCCUAACACAUGCAAGUCGAACGAGCGAGAGAGAGCUUGCUUUCUCGAGCGAGUGGCGAACGGGUGAGUAACGCGUGAGGAACCUGCCUCAAAGAGGGGGACAACAGUUGGAAACGACUGCUAAUACCGCAUAAGCCCACGGGUCGGCAUCGACCAGAGGGAAAAGGAGCAAUCCGCUUUGAGAUGGCCUCGCGUCCGAUUAGCUAGUUGGUGAGGUAACGGCCCACCAAGGCAACGAUCGGUAGCCGGACUGAGAGGUUGAACGGCCACAUUGGGACUGAGACACGGCCCAGACUCCUACGGGAGGCAGCAGUGGGGAAUAUUGCACAAUGGGGGAAACCCUGAUGCAGCGACGCCGCGUGGAGGAAGAAGGUCUUCGGAUUGUAAACUCCUGUUGUUGAGGAAGAUAAUGACGGUACUCAACAAGGAAGUGACGGCUAACUACGUGCCAGCAGCCGCGGUAAAACGUAGGUCACAAGCGUUGUCCGGAAUUACUGGGUGUAAAGGGAGCGCAGGCGGGAAGACAAGUUGGAAGUGAAAUCCAUGGGCUCAACCCAUGAACUGCUUUCAAAACUGUUUUUCUUGAGUAGUGCAGAGGUAGGCGGAAUUCCCGGUGUAGCGGUGGAAUGCGUAGAUAUCGGGAGGAACACCAGUGGCGAAGGCGGCCUACUGGGCACCAACUGACGCUGAGGCUCGAAAGUGUGGGUAGCAAACAGGAUUAGAUACCCUGGUAGUCCACACCGUAAACGAUGAUUACUAGGUGUUGGAGGAUUGACCCCUUCAGUGCCGCAGUUAACACAAUAAGUAAUCCACCUGGGGAGUACGACCGCAAGGUUGAAACUCAAAGGAAUUGACGGGGGCCCGCACAAGCAGUGGAGUAUGUGGUUUAAUUCGACGCAACGCGAAGAACCUUACCAAGUCUUGACAUCCUGCGACGGUGCUGGAAACAGUACUUUCCUUCGGGACGCAGAGACAGGUGGUGCAUGGUUGUCGUCAGCUCGUGUCGUGAGAUGUUGGGUUAAGUCCCGCAACGAGCGCAACCCUUAUGGUCAGUUACUACGCAAGAGGACUCUGGCCAGACUGCCGUUGACAAAACGGAGGAAGGUGGGGAUGACGUCAAAUCAUCAUGCCCUUUAUGACUUGGGCUACACACGUACUACAAUGGCGUUAAACAAAGAGAAGCAAGACCGCGAGGUGGAGCAAAACUCAGAAACAACGUCCCAGUUCGGACUGCAGGCUGCAACUCGCCUGCACGAAGUCGGAAUUGCUAGUAAUCGUGGAUCAGCAUGCCACGGUGAAUACGUUCCCGGGCCU